ensembl:lncRNA
CGAGAGAAAAAAAAAGUAUGAAACUCAUCUAAGCAAAAUGCUUUAUUAUAUUGUAUUUGCAGUCAUGCUUAUGUCACCAUAUCAUGUCGACAUUUUAACAAACUGCAAAUAACCAAGCUGUGAACACUGAACAUAGCAUACUAUUUCACAAAACAUGUUUUGUUCGCAGUAUUAGUACGAUAUCAGAAUCAGAGUCAGUAACAGGUCAUUAAGAUAAAAAAAAAGUCUCACAACAGUCAUGUGAGACAUAGCACUUUGUUUUAAACUGAAUUGAGCUGACACAUUAUACAAAGUCAUUUUUGGUACACUAAUUUCUAGUCCCUUAGAGCAAGUGUUUAAGUUGCCUUCCUCAAGGGCACAAUUUUAUUAAAAAUGGGAUGAUUUUGGUACCUUUCGAGUUUAUAGAUCACCAUAACUUUGGACUGACCCUGGCUGCUUUAUCAAACCAGCACCUUCAUCAUAAGGCGACCGUAUAUUCAGUUAGUUCUUGAGAUUCAACAUUUGAAUAUUCUUAACUGAACAUUCUUAAUACUGGAAAUGUUCAUUUUGGCACAGAAAAAUAGAAUUAAAAAUAUAUCAUCAUUUGUAUUACUGUCAUUCAACAAAUAAUAAUACUAACAAGCAUUCAAACCAUCAUAGGGAAUUCUGUCAGCAAAACUCACUUUCAUCAAUGAAUUAUUCUCCUGCAUGAUGUUCAAAUGUUAUUGUAUAUGUGUGUGUGUAUAUAUAUAUAUAUAUGUAUAUACCUUCCCAUAUGCCAAAAUUAAAAUCAAUGUCUUUAUAUAUUUUUUUGCAGCCCACACAUGAAAAUUUUCAAAAAUCAAAUAAAAGUUUUCACUAUGAUUUCCCACUACUUCAUUAACAACUUAAGGAAUAUUCAAAAACAUUUUAUCAUUCAUUCAUUCAACAUGGUACAAAAGACUUUUUGAACGUUAAAAUACUUUCUUCUGGUUCAAGGCCUCGUUUUCAUGUGUUUUUGAAUAUAACUUGUCCCCACUGUGUCUUUUGCUACAAGACACUGGCAUGGUGAGAUUCGACAACAGCAGCAUCACAUAACAGCACACAUGAUUGCACUCAGUAAACAAAUCACAUUAGAUCAUUUCCAACAGAAAACUUCAAUUAUUCAUGCAUGCAACUAAUAAUAAUUGCGCAAGUAAAAACAAGAAUGGGGAUCUGAUUAGUGUUCUUCUCAAAUUUGUUCCACCUUUGUGCAUUUAUGAAAUCUCCCUGACCUUCUCUGAGUUUGCCUGGUCAAUCAUACUCGACUCAGGGUACGUGUCACCAGCCAGCCCUUCUGUCGGCUCUCCAAACAUCUCCAGUUCAUCUAGAAUGGUUUGAACUCUGCGGACGCCAUCCCUCCGAGCCUGACGCACAUCUGGGCGACCUUCAGGGUCUAUUGAGUCCAGAGCCAGAAGUUCUUUGGUCAACAUCUCUUCCAGCAUCAUGUAUCUUUUAUCAUUCUUCUUCCCAUCGAAACUUUUCACAUCUUGUGCCAGUUUCUCCACACGUUCCAAUAUCUGCUGCACUUUGAUCAGUCCUGGGUGGCUCAGAUCUUGUUCUGGAGUCUCCUCAGGCUGGACUUGUGGGGGUAGGACCUCUUGAGGUGUUUGAGGGGCAGCGGUUUCCUGUGGUUCUGGUGCUGGAGGAAACUGUAUGGUAAUAUUGGAUGUCUCUGAUACCUGCGGUGACUGUGGUAUGGGUUGUUGUUGUUGCGGUUUUACUGGCUGAUGAUGUAUUUGCUGAGGAAUAUCACUAACUCUUUGAAUGGGAAUCUCAAAUGCAGGCGCUCUGACAAUUUCUUCAACUGGUUGUUCAGCUUUAGGUGAAAUUGCUGCGGGUCCAAUGUGUUGCUGGACCUGGCAAUAGUAACAUAUUCUCUUUAGCUGAUGAACAUUAAUGGCUUGAGCUUAAGUGAAUCAGUCCUUAUUAAUAAAUACUAAUAAAUAACACACAUACCUGUGGUCUCUCUCCCAUGAUCUGAGACAUGACUGGUGACUGGGCCAGUAAGGGGACCGAGAUGGGACUGGCAGCUCGAUUCUGUUGAAUCUGAAUGGGCACUUGUUCACGGUAGAUUGGCAUUUUUUCUCGCGUAGGAUGAGAACUUUGGCUAGGCUGGGAUUGUGAGGCACCCCCUACACCCUCGUGGAUCACCGGAAUGGGGAUGUAGCCCGCCCGGAGACCUGUAUUGCUGGGUCGGGGCUGUUGAUGAAGGCCACUCAUUUGUUGGUGUGUGCCCUGUGGUUGAUGAACCUGAUGCACAUAAAAAUACAGUUUGAUUUUGGAAAUAGCCAGAAAUGUUUACACUAGCAUUCAAAGGUUUUGGAUAAAUAACAUUAAAAAAAUAAAAAAAAUCUAUUUCAAGUAUUGCUACUAUUGUUGGCUCUUUGACGAGUUGCUUUACACCACUUUUGUAAGUCACUUUAGACAAAAAAAAGAAUUUGCACAAUAUUUCUGCAUUUUUGUUCAAAUAAAAAAAAGAUAAGAAAUAAAUAAUAAUAAACAAAAAAAGAUAAGAAAUACAGACAAAACUUAUUCAGCAAUAAUAUGUUAAAAUAGCAACUUUUAGCAGCCAUUAUUUUUCAGCAACCUAUUAAACUUUUUUUAAACUUUGAAAAGAAAACACAGGGCCCAAGGAAAACUUCCAGAAGCAAACAUGAAUUCAUGCAAUUCUUUCAUAAUGAAUCCACAGCCCGACAGAGACUGCCAUGUCCAAUAGAGAAAUCCAAUUCCUAAUGGUCUUACCUCAGGCCCGUGUAAAGCAGGUGAGCAAGACAAACAUGCUUCCGAUGGGGCCUGCACUGGAGAUCUAGGCCGACAGUGGGAUGCUGGGGUCGGGGAAGGUGUACGUCCAUCUGUUCUCAAACUUUGCUGCACUGCUGGGUGGAUGUAGGAGAAACUCGGAUACUGCUGCAGCCUGGGUUCAGUGUUUUCAUGGGAGACUGCGAUGGGGAUGUAGCCCUGGCGUAGCAUCGGUUGCCUCAUCUCUUGAAUAAAGGAUUUGUGCAUGUCCUGAGGAGGCUCGGGGGACAUAGAGGGGCCAUUUGAAAAAAUCUGAAAAAAAAGAAGAAAAAAGGAUGGUUGAAAGAUCUAUUCAAAAUGAUCUCAUUUAAAUAUUCUGCAUCAUACGUCUGAUCAACAACAUCACUUCUGAUGAUGCUCUUCAGUCUUCUUUUGCUGAAGUAUGUAGUAGCUAUAUGCUAAAUUGUUUUGCAGGAGAAGGCAAAUAACUAAAGCAUGUGGUUGGCUGGGUUAUUGAAAAAGCUCCAAUCAUCAACAAUGGCAUUCCAGACAGCAUAAACAAAAUAUUUUUUACUUAUAUAAUAUUGAAAAACAAGCCAGAGAUAAUGGUAUGUAGAUGUUUUUGGGAAAUAAUCCCAUAAAAUCAGUAGCUAGAUCAUCUUUUCAAUGAUUAAUCUGAACUGUAAAAUGAAAUAAUGGUAUUGUUAAACAAUAUACAUCACAGGCAGCCACAAUGGGGACAAACUUUUGAGGGCUAAACUUUGACAAACAUAAAGAGUGAGAUGGAGCAUUACUAACAAGCACAGUGUCUAAUAUUCAAACUCCUGUAUUGGAUGAUUUUAUGACACUCUAUAUGACACAUUAUGUGUUGAUUAACAGUAUUUUACACCUGCUACAUUUUUCCUAUUAGCGUCACAUCACUGUCAAGUUGUAGGCUUUUACAACUAGUCACACUCAGUUAUAUGCGAAUUCCACCUGUUGUAAAUCUGCCUAAUGUAAAAUGAUAUUAUACGUUAUUGCAGGCAACCAACCAACAUGCUAUGGGAUUCAGUCACUGCUUCAGUUCAGUACAUAAAUGUAACACUCAAUUUGAACGUGUCUCACGUCUUCUCUCCUCAUCUGUUUGACACGCAAAGGUCAGUCCGCCCUCUCUCAAUGACGAGGCAGUCAAGAAACAAACAUGAAACAUGAGUGGGUAAAAACUCACUGUGCACAGCAACUGUUAAGCGAUGGCAUUGGCUUACAGGAUAUACCCUGUAUGCUGUCGAUUCUAAUGCCAUGACUCACUCUAUGUAGCAUUUUUCAAUGGGUUGCUGUGCUGUUGACACUGUGUCUUAAAAUACUCUUUGUGAGGGGGAGGGCCUCCCUUACUCAUCAAUGUAAAUCAGAGUUACACAGACACAACAAACAUCAAAAGAGAUAAAAUCCCUAAUAAAUCAUCAAAAAAACACCUAUUCUGAUGUUGAAACAGCAAAGCAGCUACAUCAUUUUAAGACAGGCAGGCAAUUAUUCCUGAAUGUAGAUAUGGUCACAUCUAAUGUCAGCUCAGCGAAAACUUCGCAAGCGAAAUCCAGUCAUUUCAACUGGAAUUUCAAAAAAGUUCCCCUUGCAGAUUUCGCUCAUGAUCACUUUGGUCACAUGAUUCAUUGUGUUGACCAACAGAAAGACGCUUUCAAGCGACAGCUUCAUUCAUACACUACUGAAAGUUGGCAAUGGAAUUUUUUGCUCACGAAAUUCCCUAAAUUACAAGCUAAACUUAUACUAAAUGCUAAAGUUAAGAAGCUGAAGUUCAGCUACUUGUUUCAUUGACCUUCCCAAAUUAAAAUAUAAUGUCUUGUACAGGUCUAAAUAUACAAGCACAUUAAUAUGGCUUGGUAUUAUAGGACCAUCUUAAAAUGCAACACAUCGGAGUCCUGAGCCUGAAAAAGGUCAAAGAGGGAUGAAUCAAGGUUUACAAUGCAGUUUUACUAAACGGAUUAAAAACCAAGAUGUUAAACAGAGAGAAUAGUGACUGGUUAGCGUAUAUGACCUCAUGCCCUCUCCGUUUUUUCUUUUUUUUUUUAUUUUUGACACAGACGCCAGGAGUAGCGCUCAGUUUAUCUCCUGACAGCUGUGUCUUUCCAGCAGAUUCUUGGUGACACUAACUUCGGACAAGUGUUGAUCUAUCUAAUGAAAGAUGCCAACUGGCAAGCCCUCGUGUUCCCCCCCCCCCCGCAUUUUUGACUCCCAGAACCUGAUGUGCGGAGAACAGUCUGACACUUCCAGUUUGUAACUUUCAAGCCCAUUCAUUGGGAAUGACAGAAUCGCUGAGUGGGUGGAUCUUUAUGAAAUCCCAUGUAAGGGAAACUUUGAGGGACGCGUUAGUGCUUUGCGGUUCCAGGGAUGUGCAGAACAAGCGCAGUGUGCGUAGUUCUCGAGGCUUUAAAUAAACAUUGUGGAGUCGUUCUAACACUCUCACAUAUGACUGCAGUGCGUCACACACUAAUCACUUCAGCUGAGAUCAUCACACUAAUAUAUUUCGCCGGUGUAUAUACCGUCAGGCCGUUCAAAUGAACGCGAAGAGCUAUUUCCACAGAGGUGACUGCGAUUCACGCGCGAGCUUCGGCGAAUAUCGAGUGCGUGGCUCCCUAGACAGCCAGUGUCUGAUCAAGUAGCCUACGAUAUGGAUGUACUGAGUGGGAUCGCUGCCUACGCACUCAACAAAACUGUCUUUUACGAUGAAACACCCUCCAAAAUGCCAUAACUAGUCUAUAAAACACACGUCAUAUGUUGAUCUGCAGUUGUAAGAUCGCCAUAAAAACGCUCGCGCGCAACUUCCAAAAGCACAAUCAAGAUCUAUCUUACCUUUUUCGUGUCGUGCCUCGGAUCGUUCCACGUCGUUGUGCGAUUGUUGUGAUCCACAAAAAACGGCCAACCUGUCUGCGGGUCGAUUUUGAUCUCCCACCCGGGUGGCAGAGGAUCGUUAGUUGUCAUCGUUUCGACUGGAGACGGUGUUUUCAUACUCUGAUAUUGCUUCGCUCCCGAAUAUUGUGCCAUUACAGCCGCUACAGACGCUUUAAAGGGUCCGUCUGAUGACGUACUGUAAACGGGGACGGGUUUCUCGAAGCAGCAAGGUCCCUCUGAAGACUACCGAGAAAGUUCUAGCUGAGGGUUCACUG